AACGAACGCUGGCGGCAGGCUUAACACAUGCAAGUCGAACGAUGUAGCAAUACAUAGUGGCGCACGGGUGAGUAACGCGUGGGAAUAUACCUUAUAGUGGGGAAUCACUUCGGGAAACUGACGCUAAUACCGCAUACGCCCGAAAGGGGAAAGAUUUAUCGCUAUAAGAUUAGCCCGCGUGAGAUUAGGUAGUUGGUGGGGUAAUGGCCUACCAAGCCGACGAUCUCUAGCUGGUCUGAGAGGAUGAUCAGCCACACUGGAACUGAGACACGGUCCAGACUCCUACGGGAGGCAGCAGUGGGGAAUAUUGGACAAUGGGGGCAACCCUGAUCCAGCCAUGCCGCGUGAGUGAUGAAGGCCCUAGGGUUGUAAAGCUCUUUCGCCGAUGAAGAUAAUGACGGUAGUCGGAGAAGAAGCCCCGGCUAACUUCGUGCCAGCAGCCGCAGUAAAAC
rnacentral:rRNA from 1 species